CUGGACUACCAGCGGAUGUACGGGACACGCUGCCAUGGCUGUGGGGAGUUCGUGGAGGGCGAAGUGGUGACCGCUCUGGGCAAGACCUACCAUCCCAAUUGCUUUGCUUGUACUAUCUGCAAGCGGCCGUUUCCACCCGGAGACCGAGUCACAUUCAAUGGGAGAGACUGCCUUUGUCAACUCUGUGCACAGCCGAUGUCGUCCAGUCCAAAAGAAACCACCUUCUCCAGCAAUUGUGCCGGCUGCGGAAGAGAUAUCAAGAAUGGGCAGGCACUGCUGGCACUGGAUAAGCAGUGGCACUUGGGGUGCUUUAAAUGCAAGUCCUGCGGGAAGGUCCUCACCGGGGAGUACAUCAGCAAGUAAGGCUGGGUGCGGGCACGUGUUCCUUUCAGUGGGCACCGGGCGUUGUGUUUCUUCUGCAGGUCCUGGUCUCAGGGGCCCCAUCCCAUCAAUGGUGCUGAAAUUGUUCACAUCCUGCCAUCAGAAUGAACUUGUUGCUAUAAAACUUUUGAAAAGAA
rnacentral:sRNA from 1 species